rnacentral:lncRNA from 1 species
GGCCCAAUACUAACCCAUACCCACUAACCUAAAAUUUAGCCCAACAAAAGCCCAAAUCCUACCAAACCCUAGCCCAUCCCAAUCAAAUCAACAACCAAACCCUAGGUGCGCCGCACCUAGGGUCUUCAGUCUUCUACCGUCUGCCAUGGCCACCAACUCUCCUCACCUGCCCUCUGCCACCGGACUGCCCUACCUGCACAACAAAUGAAACACGCAAGCAGCAAGAAUAGAUUAGAGAGCAAUGUAAAUGGCUAUAAAAGCCGAUCUAAACAAUUGUAAAAAGGAGGAGGGUUCUUAAAAAAAUAUAAAAAUCAAAAGAGAAAGGCAGGCCAUUCUACAUCCAUACAAACAACAGAUUUUAAAACAAAGAAAUCAGUUCAAAUCGAAGGAAGAAAAAUAGUAAAGCAAAAAACAGAUUCAAUCUAAGGUAGCCAACGUUUUUCUUUCUCAUACGCGCAUCAAUACAUCCAUAUAUACAUAAAGAUUUCAUUUUUAUACAUAUAUAUACAUAAAAACAAAGAACAUAUAAAAUAAAAAAAGGAACUAAAAAAAAUACCUUUUUUUAAAAGUCCGGCCACCGUGGUGACGGAGGUGCGGCGGCGACGGUGACCUUCCGGGCCAGAUUUUGGACUUAGUCCAGAGAAAAUGGCUCCCUCUCUCUCUCUUUUU